AACGAACGCUGGCGGCAUGCCUAACACAUGCAAGUCGAACGAGACCUUCGGGUUUAGUGGUGCACGGGUGCGUAACGCGUUGGAACCUGCCCUUAGGUUCGGAAUAACUCCCCGAAAGGGGUGCUAAUACCGGAUAAUGUCUUCGGACCAAAGUUUUAUCGCCUUUGGAUGGGCCCGCGUUGUAUUAGCUAGUUGGUAGGGUAAAAGCCUACCAAGGCGACGAUCCAUAGCUGGUUUGAGAGGAUGAUCAGCCACACUGGGACUGAGACACGGCCCAGACUCCUACGGGAGGCAGCAGUGGGGAAUAUUGGACAAUGGGCGAAAGCCUGAUCCAGCAAUGCCGCGUGAGUGAUGAAGGCCUUAGGGUUGUAAAGCUAUUUUACCCGGGAUGAUAAUGACAGUACCGGGAGAAUAAGCUCCGGCUAACUCCGUG
rnacentral:rRNA from 1 species